UACUUUCUCGUCAGUCUUCACUUCCUGUUUUGCGGGUUCUUCAGCCUGUUUGGGUUGUUCUUUGGGUUGUUCGGGCUCGGGGGGUUGUGGAGGGGCCUUUAAAGGCGACAGCAAUAUCUUGCCAAUAUUUUUACGGUCCUGCAUACACUGCAUUGCGACUCUGAUCUGUAAAGAAAUGCACAUUUCCUGAAUGGAGCAGACUCGUAUUGUUGCGGACAAGUGUAAGUACAUGCACCUGUCUGCCAACAAGCCGUCAACAAGUUGUGUUCGCACUGCUUGUCC